rnacentral:rRNA from 1 species
UACGUAGGCAGCAAGCGUUGUUCGGAAUUACUGGGCAUAAAGAGUGUGUAGGCGGUGCUCUAAGUUUGGUGUGAAAUCUCCCGGCUCAACUGGGAGGGUGCGCCGAAAACUGGAAUGCUUGAACAUGGGAGAGGAAAGCGGAAUUCCUGGUGUAGCGGUGAAAUGCGUAGAUAUCAGGAGGAACACCUGCGGUGUAGACGGCUUUCUGGACCAUUGUUGACGCUGAGACACGAAAGCGUGGGUAGCAAACAGG